rnacentral:lncRNA from 1 species
AAGUACUCGACCACACCCAGUAGUUUGGUAACAAACUGUGCAGUCGAGUACCCUGUUUACAGUUUCUGUUAAAUUACUCGACCUGAUACUCGACCACAUCCAGUGCUUGGCAUCAAGCUGUGUGAUCGAGUAUAUUGCUUGUUAUUGUUAGAAUUUAUGUUAUCUGCAUGAUCGCUAGAGCUGUUAACAACACCAAAACCUGUUAUUGCUUGGCUUGACUCUGUGAUAUCUGAUUGCAUCUUGAUUGCUAGCAUCACACCCAUUUGGAUUGACACCUUAACAUACUACAAUGACAUGAUAGUAUUUAAGGAUAAUUGAUCUUAGUCAAAAUCCUACUAUCAAUUUGGCGCCGUUGCCAUUUGGGUGUUUGUUUGUUACAUUUGAGAUUUCAGACUUGCUUAGAUCAAGUUCUAUUUCAAUUUU